UACGUAGGGGGCUAGCGUUGUCCGGAUUUAUUGGGCGUAAAGAGCGUGUAGGCGGCCAGGUAGGUCUGCUGUGAAAACUCGAGGCUCAACCUCGAGACGUCGGCGGAAACCAUCUGGCUAGAGUCCGGAAGAGGAGAGUGGAAUUCCUGGUGUAGCGGUGAAAUGCGCAGAUAUCAGGAAGAACACCCGUGGCGAAGGCGGCUCUCUGGGACGGUACUGACGCUGAGACGAGAAAGCGUGGGGAGCGAACAGG
rnacentral:rRNA from 1 species